rnacentral:piRNA from 1 species
UAGAGACUGCCAUAUGCAGGGAUCCACCCU